rnacentral:rRNA from 1 species
UACGUAGGUGGCAAGCGUUAUCCGGAAUUAUUGGGCGUAAAGCGCGCGCAGGCGGUUUCUUAAGUCUGAUGUGAAAGCCCACGGCUCAACCGUGGAGGGUCAUUGGAAACUGGGGAACUUGAGUGCAGAAGAGAAAAGCGGAAUUCCACGUGUAGCGGUGAAAUGCGUAGAGAUGUGGAGGAACACCAGUGGCGAAGGCGGCCUGCUGGGCUGUUGCUGACGCUGAGGCGCGACAGCGUGGGGAGCAAACAGG